ensembl:lncRNA
GUUGGAGUUGUUUUCAUUGUGACGCAGCUGAACGUUUUUUGGGGAUCUUCAUGAUUUCACAGCCGAAGCCUUGCAUGAAGUCCUGUCGGGGAUGGUUCCUGUGUAUGGAUGUAUUUUGGAAUUGACUGUGAGGGGUUUUGUUUGUUGAUGUGUUUAUUUUGAGUGUUGUCUGCACAGUUUCUUGAACAUUAUGAAUGGACCAUCUCUGAUUGCUGCUCACGGACAGAAGAGAUGGACUUCAAACAUAAAUAGCCAGCCCCUUUGGCGGGAAGGCGAUGUCCGAUCACCAAGGAGCAGCUUGAGUUCCUCAUAGUUUGUCAUAUGACCAUAAGACAAAUGACAGAUGUUCCCAAUGUGUCGCACUCCGUGUUCAAGCUGCGCACGAGGUGUAGAUCAACAGUGAAAUGCUUUACACGGAACCCAAACCGCGCGCCAACGAGUGACGCGGAUCGCGCUGCAAGUUCUGCCUCUCCCAUCUCAUUGGUUAUACCCACGUGGGUGACUGAAAGAGAACGAGGUCAGUGGCGUAAAGCACCUAAUUUACAUAAGUAUUCAGACCCUUUGCUAUGAGACUCGAAAUUGAG